rnacentral:sRNA from 1 species
CCUGCGGCGGAAAAUGACUUUUCCGAAAAUGGGCUGUUUGCGCGGCGUGACCAUGCUGCGCGAGGACGACCUAACGUCCUCUACUGUGAGCCUCCGGGCUCCCUCGACACCACAUCCCCGGAAGGGAUGUGGUGUCUGGGUC